rnacentral:rRNA from 1 species
UACGGAAUGUGCAAACGUUAUUCGGAAUCACUGGGCUUAAAGAGUCCGUAGGCGGCAUGUUAGGUGAGGUGUGAAAUCCCCCGGCUCAACCGAGGAAUUGCGCUUCAAACCGGCGUGCUAGAGGAAGAUAGAGGUGGGCGGAACUGAUGGUGGAGCGGUGAAAUGCGUUGAUAUCAUCAGGAGCACCGGAGGCGAAAGCGGCCCACUGGGUCUUUUCUGACGCUGAGGGACGAAAGCUAGGGGAGCGAACGGG